rnacentral:SRP_RNA from 1 species
UACCUUCGAGCAGCUCGGGGGCCUGGCGUCCCGCUGGCUCUUCGGGGUCCGAAAGAUGGCGACGCCCCCGGAGAUGCACGGGGAGUCCGCGUUUGCG